GCAUUAAACAUAAUACCGAACAUGAUGAAAACUACAUUGAACGCACAAGAAAAGUUACAUAUAACGAGAAUACGACUUGUUUUGUCAUUUAUUUAUCGAAACUUGUAUAUCCAUCCAUAUAUGAUCAGUUAAUGCACCUCGAAAUGCAAGGUCCACAUCUACAUUCUUCAUUUGUGUAUGUUGAGCAAGGAGUUCUUGAAAUCGGGUAUAUCAUCUACAAACAUCUUGACUUUCAAAGUUGGCACUUCCAUUGAAUCUUCAAUUUGCACAUUAAAACACAUUCAUCUUCGAUUGUCAUAUUGUGCAAAAUUAUGCAAGUGAUCAUUAUAUCUUGUAAGAUACUUUUGUCCCACAUGCAUGCUGGUCCACACACAAUUGCAAACUGUGAACACCAAAUGUACGUUCCACAUCUUUUAUACAUUCUCAUAUUUCGUAGCAAAUAAUUUUUUUGGGACCACAUAGUUUAUGUCUUAUUUGGACAAGCGUAGACCAUUUUGGGUAUAUAAUAUCUGCUAAAUGAUAAGCCACGUUAUAUUCUUUUCCUUGAAUAACAUAAUGAGCGAGAGGAGAAAUACUUUCACCAAGGUCGGCAAAAAUGUUAGAUGCCUCCAACACAUUAAUAUCAUUGUUGGAACCUGGUAAACCAAAAUAUGCAUGCCAAAUCCAAAGAUAAGAAUUGGCUAUAGCCUCAAGAAUAAUAGUUGGGGGUUCUACUAUAACUUGCAUAUUAUCGUGCCCAAGUUGUUGGACAAUCUUUCCACUUUUAGUGCAUACAAUCUAGACUAACCAACAUUCCUAAAAAACCACAUUGUUCACCAAUAUGGAGUAGUAUCACAAUGUCGUUAGCAUUAGGUAAUCUUAGAUGUUGAUCUCCAAAUACCUCCAUAACAGCACUACAAAAUUUGUUGAGACUUUUCAGUUGCAGUGGAUUAUCCUAUUUUAACGUACUCAAUAGUAACAUCUACCGUGACUACAUAAGCCAACAUCCAAAAUACAACUGUUAUUUUUUGAUAAGCUGACAAUUCGAGUCUACCGGUUACAUCCCUUUUCUGUACGAAAUAGUUGUCAUGAACUUGCAAGGCCUCAAGUAUACAUACAAAUAAACUUCAAGACAUUCGAAAUUGUCGACGAAAUAAAUUUUCAUUAUAACGUGGCAUCUCGAAAAAUAGUUGUCGAACAGAUUUUUAUCAGCAUUUUCUUGGUCACAAUGGAUCAUUACAUGAUCGUAAGUAAAACCCCCACUGAUCGGUUCACUACUUUGUUGAUUGAAUAAUGAGCCACAAGGAUGUUGUUGUUGGAAGAAAUGCGAAUUAUCAAUUCUUGUUUUGCAUCAACAGAUUCUAGCUCAUUCUUAAAUGUUAUCGUCAAAUAAUGAAGAUGAAGCAGAAGAUGAAAUAUAAGAUGGACCUCCAUUAAUAAAAUUUAUACUUGACGAUGAAUUGAAUUGAAUGACAGAUUCAGGUUUAUAGAGAUAUAAUGGAAUAGAGGAUAAAAGAUAAGAUUUAUGUACAAUUUGAUCUCAACCAUUGAAUGGAUUUCAUCAGAAUCUCAAC
rnacentral:lncRNA from 1 species